UUUGGGGGUUUUAGUGGGGAAAAGAAGCCGCCUGAUGGUCUUUUUGUGGGUAGGGGGGUUGGGGGAGGCAGGUUGAGGUGGUGGGGGGAUGCUAGAAAGGUUCUCAUCCUGCCCUGGAGUGUUUUAGAGCGGCUGUGAGGCAAGCAGCUAUGGGGGGAUGAGCCCCUCAUGAGGGGUGAGCCCCUCAUGGGAAUCCCUCAGCUCGUCCCCGUGUGGGAAGGAGCCAACAUCCAUCCCUGCUGGGUGACCCAAGAGAGGCAGCAGGGCCCUCCGCCACCCUACUGCUGAAAAACCAGGGGGAUGUGAGCUGCCGGACUGCCCCACACGGGACACGGCUCAGAUCCUGCAAAUGUCCGCUUCAGUUGGGGAGGAAGCGUUAGGAAGAAAUGUAGCAUGCCUGAAAGUUGAAGAGAAGAAAAGGGAGUAACUUUGUGAGUUUGGCAGCUCAAAGAGGAGGUUCACCAGAAACACAAAGACUUCACCCGCUGCGUUAUCAGAUAAGGACAUUUGCCUUUCAUUUUAUGAACUGCAACACUUCGUCUGUGCUCGUGACAGUAAUGUGAGGAGAAGUAGAUGAUUUUCUGUAUCGGCUUCUGGCCUUUUAGUCGACACACCCUGCUGCCACUCCCUUUCUUUUGUUUCUAGCAAGUGUUGCUCUUCUGUCCUAAGGCAGAGAACCGGCAGUGAAAAUGGCUGUUUAAUAUUAAAAUAGAAAAACAAAAAAGGGAGAGAAAUGUAUAGGGUUUUUGCAUAUAGCAUUUCAAAUAUCUGAAACCCUCUCUCCCUUCUAGAGUCUAAUUUACAAGGUAAAUAAUGGAGUGAAAACCCUGAAGCGGCUCAUCCAGCUGAAGGCAAAAUUUCCCUCUGCCCACAACACUGCUUAAGUAAACCGACUUUUUGCUGGAAAGGUUGCCCUUUCAAAUGGCUGAAAAUACAAACACGCACAGAGCUUCCCAUCUGGAAACCAGUUACUUCACAUACCAGUACUGCUGAAAGCCAUAGCUGAUGAUGGAAACCGACCCGUGGGCAGAAAGGAUGUUGCUGUCUCACACUUCAGCAACAUCUAAAACACCUUCAAUUUUAUCCUGUCUUACUAGAGUUUCAUUGUAAAGACUGUUACAACUUUACCACGAUGUUUUGUAAUAAUGUAAGUUUUGUAAGCUUUAUGGUAAUAGCAUGCUUUGAAAGAAACUUAUACCUGCAGAAAGUUUCGUCCUCAAUUCUGUAUUAUCAAGAACAACUGAAGGCCAUGGCUGUGUAAAUCAGAAAGCAUCGUCUAACAUUAGCUAGAGACCUGAAUAAAGUACUCUAGGUCAGCUUCCUCCCGCUAACUGCUGGAAUUGUUCAUACCCUACCGUAAAUGCUCGGGAAUGGCUUAUCCUCCCAUUCCUUACUCCUCAUGACUUCACAAGAUCAAAAGACCUGUGCACAUGACAGUGCCCAGGAGGUGAAGGAUUUGCACAUCUGACUUCUCCACACUGAAGCACCUGAUGGGACCCGCACAUCCAUUCUUUCAGGGACUGAACAUCUUCCUGGAGUGCUGCACGAGCUGGUUGAUCGCUGUGGAAGGUUGACUGAUGUCCAUGUAAAGCUCCCCUGUAGUGUUAAGAGCUUUAGAAGCUCUAGAGACUUUCCUUUGGAGAUCGAGAGCUUUCAUCCCAGUAGUUUCUAGGUACAAUAAAGGCUUUGCUAUUCCUCCAGUUAUUCUGGUAAUAGGAUUCAACUGGAAAUUAAAAAAAAAAAAAAAUUGUCACAAUGUGUUGAGGGGACUAAGACACAAAGCUGGGGUGGCUGCUGUGUGUUUAAAGAAAAAUCAGAAAUAUUAAAGCAUCAGGAGUCUAAGGGACCAUACUGGUACCAGCCUCGUGCCUGCGGUGGCACAGAAACAGCAUUGGGAAGGAAGCUCUUUUAGUUCCAUCUAUCCAGACGCACGCCAUAACGCACUUAAAAGAAGCAGUCGUGUCUAAGACUUGCUUAGGUCCUCAUUGUGAAAUCUCUCUUGGACAGCUGCUUGCACAGCAGACAGUGUUCUACUGGAUAGUUGCUCCCGGGGCUUUUCCCAAAGCCUCAGACUUUCAGUGCUGAAACCUGUGCUGAACAAUCGUAAGCUCUGAACUUUCCAUGACCUAAACUGCACAGGCCAGUACCAGGCAUCCUGGAUUUACCAAAGGAAGUCAAGGGAGCAGCUGGAACGGUUGUACAGGUGGAGCAGCACAGGACACUGAUAGGAGGUAUUUUAUUCCAAAAUAGAUUAACAAAAACCCGACUCUCUAUUCCUAAACUUUCUGAAAAGCUGUGAAAAAUACGUUUAAUUUGUUGACGGAAGGCACUUUAGUGUGAACUAGUUCAAGUUAGCCUGCAACAAAUUUCAAGCCUGGACAGGUCUCUAAUAGAUCAUGUGGAUGCUUGACUCCACAUACUUUGCGUUUCAAUUAUCUACGCAGACCCUUUGGCUGAAUUAUCUGUGCCUUUUCCAACCUUAUCUCAAACAUGAGCCAUCUCUCAUGCAACUGUACAUUUCAGGGCUGCAAUCUGAAAAGAACCUGCAAGUCUCUCUCACCUUCCGUUCACAUUCUGUUGUAACUGAACUAACUCGUCAUGAUAAAAAACAAAAGUGUAUUUUGGUAUUUUUCUCCCAAAGCUAUCCAGAGCUUCAGAGAAAGGCCAUGCAAUGCUAAAUAAAACAUUUGGUAUCAGCAAACCUGCUACUGGGCUGCGUCUCUCAUCAGUCGGGGAGUUGCCAGAAGGGAGAAGGAACCGUGAGGAGCUGGAGCUUGUGUACACUUGAACUUGCAUUGCCACCAGGGCUGGGGGCGCACCUGCACUGACCACAGGGUCCAAAGACAACCCAAAGCUGUAAGUUCAUGAAGCCAUAAUCAGCUCUGAAACAAAAUAACAUGCAAGAUUGGUUGUGCCACCUCUUUUUCCAUUGAAACUUACUGCUGAGAUCUUUAGGAUGUAUCAGCAAGUUAAGAAUCACAAUUGGAAUCCAGAUUUUUUUCUGCCAGUUAAAGCACUUCUCUGAAACAGUACUAAAGGCUAAUUUCUUCCUCUAAAUUCUCUAGAGGUGAGACCCUUCUUUGCUAUCACUCAAGAAUACUGAAUCCUGAGGAGCACACAGAAACCACCAGUGUCUGGAAGAAAGUGGUCUGAUCUCUCACAGAGAAAAGGCAGACACUCAGGCCCAUUAUUCUUAAUUUAAGACUUCAACCUGAAAACAAAAAUAUUUCCUGCUUCUUUCUCAAGCCUUCAAAACAACCGCAUCUCAUGCUGUGGUGUAAUUUUUCCUCGGGGCGUCUCAAGGGAUUUGGGUUAUCUAACGCUAGCGGUAGAGGCGCAGCUCCCCGACGUGCCGAUGCCGAGGCGCACGCACGGUGCGAGUGUAGGACGAGAGGAGCUGCAGUUAUCGGUAGCUGCGUCAGGUAAAACGAGCUUUCUGCAGAAUUUGGCAGCAGGAGCCUUUUUGGAAAUGAGGUAGAGCGGCAGCUAUUUCUCCCCAGGGCAGGAAGAGAGCUGCGCUUCCUGACAAGAAGCAAAGCGCUGUAUGAAGCGUGGGGAUGAAGGCUGAGGAAUGCACAGGUGCUGGGCUGACCCUCACCCUGAUUUCAUGAAGCCGUUUUGGACCUGCUGCUGCCUAACACGCCGCUGCCCUGCGAUCGAUGCUGAGCCACGGCCGGGGCACCCAGAGGGGGCUUUUGGCAGUGCUUGCUGCCCCGGGACUCGGAGGUGCAAAUGGCAAUCAUCUGUUGCUUAAAUAAUGGAAAAAAGCUUACAGCAACAACAGGUAUGUUACCCUGGUGGCCUCUAGUAAUGGCAGAGAUGUCACACACUCACAUAGCCUUUGGUUUUGGAAGGAUGA